AGGUGUCCGAUACACACAAAGGGGAGAGAGAAAGAGAGUAUAGUGGAGAAGCCCUCUCUCUCUCUCUCUCUCUCUCUCUCUCUCUCGUAGAAGGUGCCAAUUUCCUUGUUCUGGAUCUGUUUAUUGUUCUUAGUCCUUUAAUUUGUAGCUCUCGAUCUUCUACUGAGAUCACAGCUCUGGGAGAAGCCCUAGCCCGAGAAUUCGAUGCAAAGGGGCUUCUUUUCUGUUGGUUGGCGUGGGGGUCCGUCCCUGCUUGGGAUCCUCUUGAGUUAGGGUUUAGUGGCGGGCGGGGAUGAUGAGGGGAUUCGAGGGGCAAGGAGGGGUUCCUGGGAGCCCUGGCCGCCCCCGUGACGGUCCCAGGGAGCUCGGCGAUGCCGUCGCAGAUAAUGCCCUCUUCGAUGCUUCACAAUAUGCAUUCUUUGGCAAGGGGGUCAUGGAGGAAGUUGAGUUAGGGUGUAUAGAAGACAAUGGCGCUGACAAUGCUGGUUUUAUUGGGAUUGAUGUUGAGUACCAUUUCUCUACCAUUGGAGACAGAGAAGAGGCUGUAGUUUUAGACUCUCUCUCUGAUGCUGAUGACCUUGCUAGCACUUUUGCUAAGUUGAAUAGGGUUGUAAAUGACCCAAGGACUGCAGGAGUUAUUGGUGAUAGAGGAUCUUCUUCUAGAGAAAGUUCUUCAACUGUGGACUGGACACAGGAGGGAGACUAUUUAAACUGGAUUGAUCAGCGAAUAUUAGAUGCUGAAAAUAUUCAGGAAGGUAAAAGAUGGUGGUCACAGCCACGCCCCUCAUCAUCUUUGCUUUCAGAAUCCAAACCACUGUAUAGAGCAUCUUCGUACCCUCAACAGCAACAGCAGCAACAAGAACAGCAGCAGCAGCAGCAGCAGCAGCAGCAAUACGCUCGGGAAUCAGUCUUCAUGCCCAAUUUAUGUGUCACUUCCUACUCUCUACCUGGUGGACGAUCUCAGCCGUUGAUAAACCUUACUCGGCACUUAAGCAUACCGUCUCUUAGUGCUGGGCCCCAGCUACCUGGCCCGAGUCUCGUGCCUCAUUCUGAUUCUCAACAACUUUUGGGAGGAUUAACUCAUGGAUUGCACUAUGGUUCAGACAUAUCUCAGAUUAUUCCUCCUAGCCCUGGGAUGAGUAGCCAGACAAACAACUAUCUGCUGAACCGAGCAAGCCGAUUAUCGAGCGAUGAUAUGUUUCCUAACUUGUUACGGCAACAAUUAUCUCUGCCAAGCAAUUUGAGAGCUUCACAAAUACUGUUGCAGCAUCAACAUCAGAAAUUGCAACAGUUCCAGCCAUCUCUUCCCCAUUUCUCACACUUGCAGACUAGAUUGAACCCUCAUGGUUCCCCACCACAAAUGAGGUACAAAUUUGAUCUGGCUAUUCCCAUGUUUGAUACAAGAGACCAUAGAUUGAAAGCAUCACAAAGAGGAAAACAGACCUUCCGAUUUUCUCACCAGUCUUCAGAUAUGAAGAGUGAUAAUAAAUGGCCACAGAUUAGGUCCAAGUACAUGUCGCCAGAAGAGAUAGAAAACAUUUUGAGAAUUCAAAAUGCAGCAACACACGCGAGUGAUCCUUACGUAAAUGACUACUACCACCAGGCUUGUCUUGCAAAAAAAUCAACUGGAACUGGAAGGCUGAAGCACAAUUUCUGCCCAAUAGCUAUAAAAGAUCUGCCUUCUCGGUCACAUGGUAAUAAUGAAUCAGUUGAUGCACUCAGGAAAGUUCCACUCUCUUCGGUUCGUAGACCUCAACCCCUUCUUGAAUUUGACACAACAUCCUCGUCGGUCAAUGGCACCCAUGAUCAGAAGUCUUCCAUGAAGCCUCUUGAGCAUGAGCCGAUGUUUGCAGCUAGAAUCACCAUUGAAGAUGGUAUUUGUGUACUUCUCAAUGUAGAUGAUAUUGAUAGGCUUUUGCAGUUCAACCCGCCGCAAGACAGUGGAUCGCAACUGAGACGGAGAAGGCAGGUUUUCCUGGAAGGGCUUGCGGCAUCACUUAAUCUCGUUGAUCCACUUGGCUCCAAUAAAGCUGGCCAUUCAGUUGGACUCGGCCCAAAAGAUGACAUUGCUUUCCUUCGCAUAGUCUCUCUUGCCAAAGGCCGAAAGUUCUUAUCGCAUUAUCUUAAACUUCUCAACCCUGGAAGUGAGCUCAUGCGAGUGGUAUGCAUGGCCAUUUUCCGACACCUGAGGUUUUUAUUUGGUGGUUUACCUUCAGAUUCCAGUGCAGCCGAAACGAUAACCAAUCUCGCCAAGACUGUCUCUCUAUGCGUGAGUAAAAUGGAAUUGAAUGCACUCGGUGCUUGCCUUGCAGCCAUAGUCUGUUCGCCUGAACAACCACCUCUUCGCCCUGUUGGAAGUUCAGCCGGUGAUGGGGCCACUGUUGUCGUAAAAUCCAUUCUUGACCGGGCAACCGAUCUUCUGUCAGACCCUCAGGCUGCAAACAGUUGCAGCAUAUCUAACCGAACUCUGUGGCAGGCAUCAUUUGAUGCUUUCUUUGGUCUCCUCACAAAAUAUUGUCUGAGUAAAUAUGACAGUAUUCUUCAAAUGUUACUUGUUCAGGCACCAAACGAUGCAGUCGUCGGAUCUGAGGCAACCAGAGCUAUAAGCAGGGAGAUGCCUGUUGAUCUGUUACGAGCGAGCCUUCCUCAUACAGACGAGCAUCAGCACAAGGUGUUGCUUGAUUUUGCUCAGAGAUUGAUGCCUGUUACUGGCUUUAGUGCUCAUGGAAGUGAUAGUGGAUCUGUGACUUAUGAAUCAGUUCCUGGUUGAUGCCUCCGGAGAGACAAAUCAGAUGGCUCCGAACUAUGUGUUAGGUCUGGUCUUCUUUUGUCACAUAUGUGGCUCUUCAAUUAACUGAGCCAUGUUGGCAACUCACUGAAAAGAUGCACCAUGGAACUUGUAAGAUUCUGGGUUUCGUGGUUCUUGACGGAAUCCCAGAGGAACGCCUAUUGUCGAAGGUAGGGCAUGAGGGCGCGCCGACUACCAUCGUAAGGACCCUCGGCGUCGGCAUCAUCCAUGGAAAUUUUCAUCAAAGCUUGCAGAUUUCGGAGAGAUUGAUGGCAAGGAAGGAGCACCGGAAGCAAUGACGCAAGGCAUCGGAUUGCCGUUCUCCUUCCCAAGGGGGAAUGCAUUUUUCUCAGCCUGCCGUCACCAUCCAUACGCCCGGUAAUCUCUUCUUCUGUCUCGUCUACGUCAUGGGUUUUGACUUCGAUUUGCCAUUCCAACUCUGCCGUCUGACGUUUUCUCACAUUUUGCAUCACCGUAAACUCUCAUCGCCUGCUUUGAGACGGCGGAAGCCAUCUUCUCUGUCUGCCAUUGCCAGAACAUAGGAAGAAGCUUGUUGCGGUAGACCAUGGAGGAUGGAGCAGGUGUCAGUCUAAACAUGCACGGAAUCAGGUCUAUCAAUCGUUACAUCACUGCACCCUUCCCUUCCUUAUGGUAGGCAGGUAGGUUGGUUCUCUCCAACAACAGGGGCUUCUCAUGUUUCGCACUGCAUGUCGUGCAAGGAAUUGCAAGAAACCAAAGCAACAGCAGUGACAGAGACGACUUGGAUCGGACUAUACAACAUGAACAUAGAGUGGAUCACACUCAUCCGUCUCAUAACCCAAGUCAUCAGCUAACUUUGAUCCCUCGUACUCGAAAGCUUCGAGUCCUGAAGCCUUGUGCAGUAUCUCUUCAUCUGCUUCGAAGCCGAUGCAGUCGGUCACGCUCAGCUUCUCCAGCUCUCUGCUGCCGCUCAGAAUCGCCAGCAACUUUUCCUUGGGCAAAUACGAGUCGUGGAGGCACAGACUCUUGAUCCUUGGAAGGUAAUCGACGAUUGCAGAUACGUCCUCGAUCUUGAUAGACCCGGACAUUGCAAGCCCGGAGAAUCGCUUGCAGUUGAGGCUGAUCUGCUUUACCAGUUCCAAGAAGGAAGAUGGCUUCGACUCCAUUUCCAGUCUCUCGAGUUCCUUCCACUUCCCCACGAUCUCCGGGAUGUGCGUCUCCUCCGCCGACAGCAGCCUCGGAAGAACAACCACCUUCAACCUCGGGCAUCUGUCAGCAAUUCAUCUCAUUAUAUGUUUGUUUCUUGUAGGCAGCAGCAGAAGAAGAAGAAGAAGAAGAAGAAAAGGAGUGCGUACGCGUCGGAAGCGUAGACCAGAUCUCGAAGGGAGGCACCGAAGACGCGAGGGAAGCGGAGCUCGCGCGCGGUGCCUUUGCUGCGGGUGGCGGCGAGCUUGAGCAGCCCCGUGAAGGACGGACGGCGUACGGAUAGCCGCGCCGCCAGGCUCUUGCAGAGAUCGCUCCAUGGCAUGAAGUCCAUGCCCCGGAAAUCGAGCACUCUCCAGCAGAGGGGGUCGAGGGAGGCUUUGCGCCACGACCGGCACACCGAUGGCGCGGCCACCGUCAAGUCCACCAGGCUCAGCCGCCGGAAGAUGUUGACGAGGCAGUCCUCCUCCAUCUCCUCCCAUCUCCUCCCCUCCAUCUCCAGUCGCCACGAUGACACAGUCGAUUGGAGUUGUUAGAAGAAGCAGCCACCAGCUUUGCGGGAUAAAGACGGAGGAAGAAUGGAAUGGUAAAAGGGUCUGACGUUGGAAUGUUGACAGGAAUUCCACGCUGGCUGCGUUCCAGAGAGCCUUCUUUCUCUCUCUCUCUCUCUCUCUCUCUCUCUGGCUCAACUGGGCCAGGUUGGGUUGAGACACUCUAUUAGCUUUAGUUGAUCCAUGGAUUCGAUCCAGGUCAGGUUGGGUUGAGAUUGGCAAAUCCACCUCCCAAAGGUGCCGAUCGUUAGUAGUCAGAAACAUGAAAGUUUGUAUCACCGACAGAGAAAUUUGAUGGAAGAUGAUAAUAGAGACAAGAAUAACUCAAGAAAUAGAGUGUGGUAACUUCAA